rnacentral:rRNA from 1 species
GAACGGGUGAGUAACACGUGGGCAAUCUGCCCUUCACUCUGGGACAAGCCCUGGAAACGGGGUCUAAUACCGGAUAACACUCCUGCCUGCAUGGGCGGGGGUUGAAAGCUCCGGCGGUGAAGGAUGAGCCCGCGGCCUAUCAGCUUGUUGGUGGGGUAAUGGCCCACCAAGGCGACGACGGGUAGCCGGCCUGAGAGGGCGACCGGCCACACUGGGACUGAGACACGGCCCAGACUCCUACGGGAGGCAGCAGUGGGGAAUAUUGCACAAUGGGCGAAAGCCUGAUGCAGCGACGCCGCGUGAGGGAUGACGGCCUUCGGGUUGUAAACCUCUUUCAGCAGGGAAGAAGCGAAAGUGACGGUACCUGCAGAAGAAGCGCCGGCUAACUACGUGCCAGCAGCCGCGGUAAUACGUAGGGCGCAAGCGUUGUCCGGAAUUAUUGGGCGUAAAGAGCUCGUAGGCGGCUUGUCACGUCGGAUGUGAAAGCCCGAGGCUUAACCUCGGGUCUGCAUUCGAUACGGGCUAGCUAGAGUGUGGUAGGGGAGAUCGGAAUUCCUGGUGUAGCGGUGAAAUGCGCAGAUAUCAGGAGGAACACCGGUGGCGAAGGCGGAUCUCUGGGCCAUUACUGACGCUGAGGAGCGAAA